GAUGAAGAACGCAGCGAAAUGCGAUACGUAAUGUGAAUUGCAGAAUUCAGUGAAUCAUCGAAUCUUUGAACGCAUAUUGCGCUCUCUGGUAUUCCGGAGAGCAUGCUUGUUUGAGUAUCAGUAAACAUCUCAACUCCCUUUUCUUUUUUGAAAUUGGAGCUGGACUUGAGUGAUCCCAACGCUUUCUUCCAAGAAAGUGGCGGGUUGCUUGAAAUGCAGGUGCAGCUGAACUUUUCUCUGAGCUAUAAGCAUAUCUAUUUAGUCUGCCUAAAAAACAGAUUAUUACCUUUGCUGCAGCUAACAUAAAGGAGACUAGUUCUUGUGCUGACUGAUGCAGGAUUCACAGAGACAGCUUCGGCUGACUUUGUAAACUCGAUCUCAAAUCAAGUAAGACUACCCGCUGAACUUAAGCAUAUCAAUAAGCGGAGGA
rnacentral:misc_RNA from 1 species